CCGUUCUCUUGCUUGUGAGACGCUAUUGGAAGGUGGUGCUGGGGUUUUUAAAAUCCGUGAUGACACAAAUGACCAUGUGGCGGUGCGGAGGACGCCAUGGAAAAGUUACAUGACUCAAAAAUGAGGUAAAUGGGGGGAAAAUAACAACAUUGGACUCUGUGUCCAGUCACCGUCCAGGCCUUAUUACGUUAAUGCAGAAACUUGACGUACAGGUUGAAGAUGUGCAGUCUUUGACAGUGGUGUGAGCAGCAAAGGUUUGCCUCCUGGACCCAAACAAACGAGGUGUCAACGCGGAAACAAUUGCAGUAUCAUGCAGGAGACUUGAGGUUCCACUUCAAAGGGUGCAGCAACAGCGUGGUGCAGCAGUCAACACAGCUACUGGAAUUUGGCACAGAUUGACAACUGUUUUGUUUUUGUCUUUAACAGUUGGCCUUGUAAUGCUUGUAUAAACAAAUAAAGAUUCUAUUCCAUUGUA